UACGGGGGGGGCUAGCGUUGUCCGGAUUUACUGGGCGUAAAGCGCGCGCAGGCGGCGGGCUAAGCCUGACGUGAAAGCCCCCGGCUCAACCGGGGAGGGUCGUCGGGGACUGGUCCGCUUGAGGGCGGUAGGGGCCGGUGGAAUUCCCGGUGUAGUGGUGAAAUGCGUAGAGAUCGGGAGGAACACCAGUGGCGAAGGCGGCCGGCUGGGCCGACCCUGACGCUGAGGCGCGAAGGCGUGGGGAGCGAACGGG
rnacentral:rRNA from 1 species